CUCCGCAUUGGCCAGGAGGGCGGGGUUCUGAGGACAUUCAGAGCUUAUUGGCUCCAGAAGUCACAUGGGCGGAGCUAAAAGUGAAUUGGGACCAAGUUUUUUUAAUCUGUAGGCUAGGUUUUAAUCUGUAGAAUAGGUACCUAACCUUUUCUGUCCAUUUCAGUCCUUUGACCACGUCAAAGAUUUAAAACAUAUUUAAGAUUUUUUUAAAAUUUUGGUCAGUUUUAUGUUCUCGCUCGCACAUCGCAGUCAGUUUUCAGGGCAUUUUUUUUCUCCCUUAAACAGGUGAGGGUAGGCGCAUCCUAUGAAUGCUGUACUAUGUAUUACAUUUUUUUUCACUUCAUAAGUGGCGUGUGGUGCCGUUAACUCUGUGAGGCAGUGAGACAGGUUUGCUUUGUAUAUACACAUUCUUUAAAACUGUGUCUAUGUUUCUGCCUGUGAGGUGUGUGCAUGUCCAGUGCAGGUGUCCAUAGGUGCUGAGGAGGCACAGACUGGGCUGGAGCUGGAAUACUUGCUUUUGGAAACCUCUUGAUGUGGGUGCUGGUAGCUGAGUUCCAGUGCUCCCCAAGAGCUACGGCAGAGGCAGAAGGAUCACUCGAGAGUUCCAGGAUAGCCUGGUCUACAUAGCAAGACUCAAUCUCAAAAUACAUCAGUAUCCCCUCAAAUACUCACCACCUGAUCUGGCCACCGAGGCCCAAAGAGUGAACUGAGCAUCACAAAGCCCAGCAGUGUCAAACUGUCGUAGGGCCAUAAGAUCGCCUAUGGAGUUCUGCCACUCCCUUGCAGUCACAAUUUGACACUGGCUUAUUCCUCCUUAUUCCACACACUUGUCGUCACCUGCAGCUGCUCUCUGAAAGUUGCUAGCUUUGCCGACCCCGCCCACCGUCUCCUUGUUGCACUCGAGAGCCCUUAUUCCUUUGAAAGCAGCUGUUGCCUGGCAUCACGUCCCCGUCUAUGACAUCCCUUCACGUCAGGCCUGUUCCUCUGCCUGCUUCUCACUAUCCAUCAGCACCCAUUAGUCUAAAUAGUUUAGCCUCUUCUCCAACCGGAGUCUCACUUCCAGCCACACUAAAUCCUAGACCAUGCACUUGCCAUGAUCUCUGACUCCCCACAUCAGCCUUCCCCAGAGCUCACCUUUCUCUUCCAGUCCCUACUGCCCACUAAUCCCUUGCUUGCUUCACAGAGAAUACAGAUGUCUCCAGAGGGGAGCUUUAGGAGGCCCUACUCCCUGCAGCUCAUAUUCUCUUCUUUGUCUUAAGAUGAAAUUUCUCUGCAUCAGAGCAAAUACCUUCACCUCUGCCUUGAACUCAUGCUCCUUUUUCUCCAUGUCUGAGAUCUUGUCCCACCAAGCAUCUCUCCUCACUUUUGCAUCCUUCAAGAUCUUUUUGCAUGUGGGCCUCUUCCCCCUUUCUGUCUUAAAAAGUUGCUUCCUUGAUCUACAGCCUGGGUUUUGUCUGAUUUCUUUCUUCUACUUCUUACCCAAGCUCCUUGAAGAGACACCUUCAUAUUAAUAUUUAGCGUUUACCUCCACCAUGCCAGUGUGAAACCAUAGUCCAAAGCCUCCAAAGACUUACUAAUUGCAAUGUCUUUGCCUUAUGGAGCCCCAGCUACCCCUGAAAUCACUGGCUAUUCUACUCUUCAAACACUCUCCCCCCUUGGCUUUCUUGAAGCUCUUCUCCUAGUGAGUCAGGCCAGUGGCUUGAUGCUGUCUCUGGCCUGCAGUUAGAGCUGACUAUAAAUUGAGUCUUGACGCUACCUGUCCCAUAUAGAGCCAGGUCAGAGUCUUUUGGCUUCCAUUUUAUUGUUGAUCUUGGCCAGGCUCAGAAAGGCCUGUGCCAGUUGUUGACAGUGUCUGCCCCUGCAGGAGGGAAGAGCAGAGGUGAAAGAAUCAGGUAUGGGGGUCAGAUUUAGGGUCAGGCUGGAGGCUACUUGAGCCAGGGAGUUCAAGGGAUCUAGGGUGGGAACUGGGAUGGCCAGAGACCCCCUGCAUCUGGAGGGCCUCAAGGUCAGAGUUGGUGAGGAUGACAUCUCGGAGGGCAGGCAUCUCUGCAAAAGGCACAUAGUCUGCUCCUGGGGAUGGAAAGCAGUGCAGGCAUGGGAUGUGGGGUGGGCUGAAGAUGGAAGGCCUGGAGAGGAUGAGGGAAGGGUGGGCAUACCUUUCUGCCUGCCCUU